rnacentral:rRNA from 1 species
GAUGAACGCUGGCGGCGUGCCUAAUACAUGCAAGUCGAGCGAACGGACGAGAAGCUUGCUUCUCUGAUGUUAGCGGCGGACGGGUGAGUAACACGUGGAUAACCUACCUAUAAGACUGGGAUAACUUCGGGAAACCGGAGCUAAUACCGGAUGAUAUUUUGAACCGCAUGGUUCAAAAGUGAAAGACGGUCUUGCUGUCACUUAUAGAUGGAUCCGCGCUGCAUUAGCUAGUUGGUAAGGUAACGGCUUACCAAGGCAACGAUGCAUAGCCGACCUGAGAGGGUGAUCGGCCACACUGGAACUGAGACACGGUCCAGACUCCUACGGGAGGCAGCAGUAGGGAAUCUUCCGCAAUGGGCGAAAGCCUGUCGGAGCAACGCCGCGUGAGUGAUGAAGGUCUUCGGAUCGUAAAACUCUGUUAUUAGGGAAGAACAUAUGUGUAAGUAACUGUGCACAUCUUGACGGUACCUAAUCAGAAAGCCACGGCUAACUACGU